UACGGAGGGUGCAAGCGUUGCUCGGAAUUAUUGGGCGUAAAGGGCAAGUAGGUGGUCUCAUUUGUCAGGGGUGAAAGCCUUGGGCUUAACUCAAGAAGUGCCCCUGAAACGGUGAGACUAGAGUCCUGGAGAGGCGAGUGGAAUACCCGGUGUAGCGGUGAAAUGCGUAGAGAUCGGGUGGAACACCUGAGGUGAAGACGGGUUGCUGGGCCGACACUGACGCUGAGUGCGCGAAAGCGUGGGGAGCGAACAGG
rnacentral:rRNA from 1 species